UACGUAGGGGGCAAGCGUUGUCCGGAAUCAUUGGGCGUAAAGAGCGCGUAGGCGGCCCGGUAAGUCCGCUGUGAAAGUCAAAGGCUCAACCUUUGAAUGUCAGCGGAUACUGCCGGGCUAGAGUCCGGAAGAGGCGAGUGGAACUCCUGGUGUAGCGGUGGAAUGCGCAGAUAUCAGGAAGAACACCAACGGCGAAGGCAGCUCGCUGGGACGGUACUGACGCUGAGGCGCGAAAGCGUGGGGAGCGAACAGG
rnacentral:rRNA from 1 species